UACGUAGGGUGCAAGCGUUGUCCGGAAUUAUUGGGCGUAAAGAGCUCGUAGGCGGUUUGUCGCGUCUGCUGUGAAAACCUAAGGCUCAACCUUGGGCUUGCAGUGGGUACGGGCAGACUAGAGUGCGGUAGGGGUGACUGGAAUUCCUGGUGUAGCGGUGGAAUGCGCAGAUAUCAGGAGGAACACCGAUGGCGAAGGCAGGUCACUGGGCCGCAACUGACGCUGAGGAGCGAAAGCAUAGGGAGCGAACAGG
rnacentral:rRNA from 1 species